rnacentral:rRNA from 1 species
GACGAACGCUGGCGGCGUGCUUAACACAUGCAAGUCGAACGAAGUGGCGAACGGGUGAGUAACGCGUAAUCAACCUGCCCUUCAGAGGGGGACAACAGUUGGAAACGACUGCUAAUACCGCAUACUGAAGGAGGGGAUUGCGGCUGAUUAGCUAGUUGGAGGGGUAACGGCCCACCAAGGCAAUGAGCAGUAGCCGGUCUGAGAGACUGAACGUCCACAUUGGGACGGAUACACGGCCCAGCCGCCUACGGUAGGCAGCAGUGGGGAAUCUUCCGCAAUGGACGAAAGUCUGACGGAGCAACGCCGCGUGAGUGAUGACGGCCUUCGGGGUGUAAAGCUCUGUUAAUCGGGACGCGGUACCGGAAUAGAAAGCCACGGCUAACUACGUGCCAGCAGCCGCGGUAAUUC